UAACACAUGCAAGUCGAGGGGCAGCAUGGUCUUAGCUUGCUAAGGCCGAUGGCGACCGGCGCACGGGUGAGUAACGCGUAUCCAACCUGCCUUACACUCUUGGACAGCCUUCUGAAAGGGAGAUUAAUACAAGAUGUUAUCAUGAGUAAGCAUUUUCGCAUGAUUAAAGGUUUACCGGUGUAAGAUGGGGAUGCGUUCCAUUAGAUAGUAGGCGGGGUAACGGCCCACCUAGUCUUUGAUGGAUAGGGGUUCUGAGAGGAAGGUCCCCCACAUUGGAACUGAUACACGGUCCAAACUCCUACGGGAGGCAGCAGUGAGGAAUAUUGGUCAAUGGACGAGAGUCUGAACCAGCCAAGUAGCGUGAAGGAUGAAGGUUCUAUGGAUUGUAAACUUCUUUUAUACGGGAAUAAACGGAUCCACGUGUGGAUUUUUGCAUGUACCGUAUGAAUAAGGAUCGGCUAACUCCGUGCCAGCAGCCGCGGUAAUACGGAGGAUCCGAGCGUUAUCCGGAUUUAUUGGGUUUAAAGGGAGCGUAGAUGGGUUGUUAAGUCAGUUGUGAAAGUUUGCGGCUCAACCGUAAAAUUGCAAUUGAUACUGGCAGUCUUGAGUACAGUUGAGGUAGGCGGAAUUCGUGGUGUAGCGGUGAAAUGCUUAAAUAUCACGAAGAACUCCGAUUGCGAAGGCAGCUUACUAACCUGUAACUGACAUUGAUGCUCGAAAGUGUGGGUAUCAAACAGGAUUAGAUACCCUGGUAGUCCACACGGUAAACGAUGAAUACUCGCUGUAGGCGAUAUACAGUCUGCGGCCAAGCGAAAGCAUUAAGUAUUCCACCUGGGGAGUACGCCGGCAACGGUGAAACUCAAAGGAAUUGACGGGGGCCCGCACAAGCGGAGGAACAUGUGGUUUAAUUCGAUGAUACGCGAGGAACCUUACCCGGGUUUAAAUUGCAACCGAAUAUGGCGGAAACGCUAUAGCUAGCAAUAGCGGUUGUGAAGGUGCUGCAUGGUUGUCGUCAGCUCGUGCCGUGAGGUGUCGGCUUAAGUGCCAUAACGAGCGCAACCCUUGCCGAUAGUUACUAACAGGUCAUGCUGAGGACUCUGUCGGGACUGCCAUCGUAAGAUGUGAGGAAGGUGGGGAUGAUGUCAAAUCAGCACGGCCCUUACGUCCGGGGCUACACACGUGUUACAAUGGGGGGUACAGAGGGCUGCUACCACGCAAGUGGAUGCCAAUCCCAAAAACCUCUCUCAGUUCGGAUUGAAGUCUGCAACCCGACUUCAUGAAGCUGGAUUCGCUAGUAAUCGCGCAUCAGCCACGGCGCGGUGAAUACGUUCCCGGGCCUUGUACACACCGCCCGUCAAGCCAUGGAGCCGGGGGUACCUGAAGUGCGUAACCGCAAGGAGCGCCCUAGGGUAAAACUGGUGACUGGGGCUAAGUCGU
rnacentral:rRNA from 1 species